GUACGAAGGGGGAGCUAGCGUUGCUCGGAAUCACUGGGCGUAAAGGGCGCGUAGGCGGCGUUUUAAGUCGGGGGUGAAAGCCUGUGGCUCAACCACAGAAUGGCCUUCGAUACUGGGACGCUUGAGUCUGGUAGAGGUUGGUGGAACUGCGAGUGUAGAGGUGAAAAUUCGUAGAUAUUCGCAAGAACACCGGUGGCGAAGGCGGCCA
rnacentral:rRNA from 1 species